AGACUCCUCCAUUUGCUACUUCUGUGGCCCUGCAGAGACUCAGUUUCCUCACCUAUAAAAGGUCAUCAGAUUAUGGGACUUCAUACAUCAAACUCAAUUUACAGCCUGGCAUCACCACAGUGAUUGACAACUUCUACAUAUGCCCUACAAACAAGAGAAAGGGUCCAUUUUCUAUAUCUGUUUGAGGAAGUUUGGGAAAGAAAAGCCACCACCCUACUCCCUAUGACUCUACCAUCUUGGCUCUGCUUCUUUCCAUGAACUCCUAGUCUGCUCUCCCUAAUUGGCCACAAACUCAUCUAUAAGGGUUCAUCUAUGUUCAGGAGAUCAUAAAAAGGAUGAUCUCAAUGGAUUAUGAAUGAGAAGGCACAUUAGAGAAUACUUUCUU
rnacentral:lncRNA from 1 species